GUGCAGCAGUCGCGAAACCUCCGCAAUGCGGGCAACCGCGACGGGGGGACCCCCAGUGCCGUGGCAUCGCCACGGCUUUUCCGGAGUGUAAAAAGCUCCGGGAAUAAGGGCUGGGCAAGGCCGGUGGCAGCCGCCGCGGUAAUACCGGCGGCCCGAGUGGUGGCCGCUAUUAUUGGGCCUAAAAGCGUCCGUAGCCGGGCCUGUAAGUCCCUGGCGAAAAUCCCACGGCUCAACCGUGGGGCUUGCUGGGGAUACUGCAGGCCUUGGGACCGGGAGAGGCCGGGGGUACCCCUGGGGUAGGGGUGAAAUCCUAUAAUCCCAGGGGACCGCCAGUGGCGAAGGCGCCCGGCUGGAACGGUCCGACGGUGAGGGACGAAGGCCAGGGAGCGAACCGGAUU
rnacentral:rRNA from 1 species